rnacentral:rRNA from 1 species
GACGAACGCUGGCGGCGUGCUUAACACAUGCAAGUCGAACGGAAAGGCCCUGCUUUUGUGGGGUGCUCGAGUGGCGAACGGGUGAGUAACACGUGAGUAACCUGCCCUUGACUUUGGGAUAACUUCAGGAAACUGGGGCUAAUACCGGAUAGGAGCUCCUGCUGCAUGGUGGGGGUUGGAAAGUUUCGGCGGUUGGGGAUGGACUCGCGGCUUAUCAGCUUGUUGGUGGGGUAGUGGCUUACCAAGGCUUUGACGGGUAGCCGGCCUGAGAGGGUGACCGGCCACAUUGGGACUGAGAUACGGCCCAGACUCCUACGGGAGGCAGCAGUGGGGAAUAUUGCACAAUGGGCGGAAGCCUGAUGCAGCAACGCCGCGUGCGGGAUGACGGCCUUCGGGUUGUAAACCGCUUUCGCCUGUGACGAAGCGUGAGUGACGGUAAUGGGUAAAGAAGCACCGGCUAACUACGUGCCAGCAGCCGCGGUGAUACGUAGGGUGCGAGCGUUGUCCGGAUUUAUCGGGCGUAAAGGGCUCGUAGGUGGUUGAUCGCGUCGGAAGUGUAAUCUUGGGGCUUAACCCUGAGCGUGCUUUCGAUACGGGUUGACUUGAGGAAGGUAGGGGAGAAUGGAAUUCCUGGUGGAGCGGUGGAAUGCGCAGAUAUCAGGAGGAACACCAGUGGCGAAGGCGGUUCUCUGGGCCUUUCCUGACGCUGAGGAGCGAAAGCGUGGGGAGCGAACAGGCUUAGAUACCCUGGUAGUCCACGCUGUAAACGGUGGGUACUAGGUGUGGGGUCCAUUCCACGGGUUCCGUGCCGUAGCUAACGCUUUAAGUACCCCGCCUGGGGAGUACGGCCGCAAGGCUAAAACUCAAAGGAAUUGACGGGGCCCCGCACAAGCGGCGGAGCAUGCGGAUUAAUUCGAUGCAACGCGUAGAACCUUACCUGGGUUUGACAUGGAUCGGGAGUGCUCAGAGAUGGGUGUGCCUCUUUUGGGGUCGGUUCACAGGUGGUGCAUGGCUGUCGUUAGCUCGUGUCGUGAGAUGUUGGGUUAAGUCCCGCAACGAGCGCAACCCUUGUUCACUGUUGCCAGCACGUUAUGGUGGGGACUCAGUGGAGACCGCCGGGGUCAACUCGGAGGAAGGUGGGGAUGACGUCAAGUCAUCAUGCCCCUUAUGUCCAGGGCUUCACGCAUGCUACAAUGGCUGGUACAGAGAGUGGCGAGCCUGUGAGGGUGAGCGAAUCUCGGAAAGCCGGUCUCAGUUCGGAUUGGGGUCUGCAACUCGACCUCAUGAAGUCGGAGUCGCUAGUAAUCGCAGAUCAGCAACGCUGCGGUGAAUACGUUCCCGGG